UUUGUUUAAUAUUAAAUUUUGCAUCCGAAAUUACUCAUAAUGAAAGUAUUCUGUAAAUACUACGAAAAAGAAGAAGAAAAAGACGGAGAAGAAGAAGAAGACCAAGAAGAAAAAGAAUGGUCAAAAGACAAAAAAUAUAUGGUAGUUUCAUAGUACUUUUUUUAAAUUUCAUUCUUUUAAAAAAAGUAAGUAUUCCACAUACAUAGUAGUCAAAUUCUUUUUGAAAUAUGAUUUCUUCGUUGUCCAUCUAGGUAUUUAUUAAGAUUUUAAAAAUAAAAGUUUUAGGGUAUAAGGCAUAAGGUAUAAGACUUAUACAUUAAAUAAUGGGUGUGUUAUAUGAUCAACUCACAAUGUGUUUACUAAUUGAGAAUGAGAAUAAGAAUGAGGGAAUGAAAAUGAAUGAUGUGUUUACUUAAAUAAAAGGUGGAAUGAGAGCCAAAGUAGUGGGCCCCACCUGAACUUGGGAAUAAUUAUUAAAGUUCUCAUUCUUAUGGGGAGGUGGAAAUGAGAAUCUCAUUCCAUAAAAUGACCAUAUUAUUCUCACUUAAAAUUU
rnacentral:lncRNA from 1 species